CAGCACGUGACGAGAGCCGCUAUGCUACUGCGCGCCAUCUUGGCUUGGCCCGGAGAGCCCUUCUGAGGAGUAUAUUCACCAAGUGGCUUAGUUUCCUUAGAUCUUUGGUGGAAGACAGGAAAAUCUGAGUAAUUCUGAUUAUGGGGAGGGAAUGAAACGGAACUUUUUAACUGUGGGACAGCAAAAAGACCUGGGUCAGAAUCCUCCACCAUUUAUUGGCUGCAUGGCCUUGGGUAAGUCAUGGAUUCAGUUUUCUCAACCACAGAAUGGGACCAGUAUCACCUACCUUGCAGGAUCAUGAGAAUUAAGUGUUAUCGUGUAAAGUUCCUAGUAUAGUACCAAGGGCACAAAGUCAUCAUCACCACCACUAUCAAGCCUCGUGCAAAAAUCCAAAUUGGCAAAAAAAUAUUUAUGCAAAUAUCCAAAAGUGAUUUUUAAAGAAAGAUACACAAGUCAAUCUUCUAAGAUUCUGAAAACCCUGUCACCUGCUUUAUUUCUGGAGGAGAGUAAAGGUAGAAGAGAAAAUAUUCACUUGAAUUUGAGGGGGAGCUUAAUGGGAAGCAAUAGUAGCAACAAUUUUAGGCUUCUAAGGCUCCUCUCUGAUCACAAGGGAAGGCUGAAAUUUCCUUGUUUGGAGAUUCAAGAGUUUAAUUUUUCCCUAGAGCAAGAUCUUCCAUUUUUGCUGGGAUAAAAGAAUAAAGAACAACAAA